rnacentral:sRNA from 1 species
GAGAGGAAAUCUGACGAAGCGCUUCGGCGCGUAGACAAAGGUCACAAGCAAGUUUCGAU